CCUACGGGAGGCAGCAGUGAGGAAUAUUGGUCAAUGGCCGGAAGGCUGAACCAGCCAAGCCGCGUGAGGGAGGAAGGCGCAGAGCGUCGCAGACCUCUUUUGCCGGGGGACAAAAGGCCGGUCUCGUCCGGUCCUGAGGGUACCCGGAGAAAAAGCAUCGGCGAACUCCGGGCCAGCAGCCGCGGUAAAACGGGGGAUGCGAGCGUUAUCCGGAUUCAUUGGGUUAAAAGGGUGCGCAGGCGGAUGUUUAAGUCAGCGGUCCAAUCGUGGGGCUCAACCCCAUACAGCCGUUGAAACUGGGGAUCUAGAGUGUGCGAGAGGUAUGCGGAAUGCGUGGUGUAGCGGUGAAAUGCAUAGAUAUCACGCAGAACCCCGGUGGCGAAGGCAGCAUACCGGUGCACAACUGACGUUCAGGCACGAAAGCGUGGGUAUCGAACAGGAUUAGAUACCCCUGUAGUC
rnacentral:rRNA from 1 species